GGCAAGAUGGCCGAGCGGUUAUGGCGGAAGUUUCAAGGAUCCCCUUCCCCUGUAUAACAGGUAGUAUGCUUCUGGGGCAACCCGCGCGAGUUCGAAUCUCGCUCUUGUCA